UACGUAGGGUGCGAGCGUUGCCCGGAUUUAUUGGGCGUAAAGGGCGCGUAGGCGGUCGUGACAAGUCACUUGUGAAAUCUCCGGGCUUAACUCGGAGCGGUCAAGUGAUACUGUCGGACUAGAGUACAGAAGGGGCAACUGGAAUUCUCGGUGUAGCGGUGAAAUGCGCAGAUAUCGGGAGGAACACCAAUUGCGAAGGCAGCUCGCUGGGACGUUACUGACGCUGAGACGCGAAAGCGUGGGGAGCAAACAGG
rnacentral:rRNA from 1 species